rnacentral:rRNA from 1 species
CAUUAGCUAGUUGGUGAGGUAACGGCUCACCAAGGCCACGAUGCGUAGCCGACCUGAGAGGGUGAUCGGCCACAUUGGAACUGAGACACGGUCCAGACUCCUACGGGAGGCAGCUGUGGGGAAUAUUGCACAAUGGGCGAAAGCCUGAUGCAGCAACGCCGCGUGAGAGAUGAAGGCUUUCGAGUCGUAAAGCUCUUUGAUCAGGGAUGAUAAUGACAGUACCUGAAAAACAAGCCACGGCUAACUACGUGCCAGCAGCCGCGGUAAUACGUAGGUGGCGAGCGUUGUCCGGAAUUACUGGGCGUAAAGGAUGCGUAGGUGGAUAUUUAAGUGGGAUGUGAAAUCCCCGGGCUCAACCCGGGAACUGCAUUCCAAACUGGAUAUCUAGAGUGCAGGAGAGGAAAGCGGAAUUCCUAGUGUAGCGGUGAAAUGCGUAGAUAUUAGGAGGAACACCAGUGGCGAAGGCGGCUUUCUGGACUGUAACUGACACUGAGGCAUAAAAGCGUGGGUAGCAAACAGGAUUAGAUACCCUGGUAGUCCACGCCGUAAACGAUGGGUACUAGGUGUAGGAGGUAUCGACUCCUUCUGUGCCGUCGUUAACACAAUAAGUACCCCGCCUGGGGAGUACGGUCGCAAGACUAAAACUCAAAGGAAUUGACGGGGGCCCGCACAAGCAGCGGAGCAUGUGGUUUAAUUCGAAGCAACGCGAAGAACCUUACCUAGACUUGACAUCUCCUGAAUUACUCUUAAUCGAAGAGCCCUUCGGGCAGAAGACAGGUGGUGCAUGGUUGUCGUCAGCUCGUGUCGUGAG